rnacentral:lncRNA from 1 species
CUAAUGUUUCCAGUUUAAUCUGGAAAUUGUUAGAAAUAACUCCAGUUAACUUGUAGAAAACAUUGUUUUCUCCAAAAGCUUCCUAGUCAGAAGGAAAAAAAACAAUGAAGAUUAAAUAGUACACUUAUUUGACUUGUAACAAUUAUAUUCAGAACUGAGCUUAUGUCCAAUAAGCAGAACCCAAUCAGUACAGUAAAAAUUGCUGUUCCUGACACUUAUACAGCACUUUAAACUUUUCAGGCAGUUGGAUAAAUAAAUGUUCCCCACUCUUGUGCUCUCUGAUCCCAGCAAGGAGAACCUGCCCCUUACGUGACCAUAUUUCUGACCAUUGGAAGAUGCAGCCUCAGCUGACCAAGACCUGGGGAUUUCAGACAAGUGGAAUGAAAGCAUUUUCAGUGUGAAAAUCCCUGGAUUUCCUAUUCCAUUAUCUCUAAUAAGUGCAUCCAGAAGAUAAACGAAGAAGGCUUACAUAUCAGACUUAAGCUGUGGUGGAUGGGUCAUCUGCUAUCAGGUGGAGAAGGUGUCUCAGGCAGGUUUUCUUUCCCUUAGCUGAACCAUCACCAAGGACUCUACCCCUCAAAAUCCUCCUGGAAAAAUUCCACUCUCUGCCUGUCUCACACAGCAUCCCCAUGGAGCUGGAUCAAGUGGACUGGAGGGGACCCAGAAAACUUUGUACAGGCUCUUGGAUCAGGGCUUCAAGACACUAGAAACCUACACGAACAUUGGUGGAUACUGGAAGCCCCAGGGACCAGGAAACAAACAAGUUAAUGAAGUAAGAUCUCUUAGUUCCUUUGGAACUUUCCAGGCCUCUUGGGACAAUUUAUUUCCUCUAAGCAUUCUUUUUCUUAGGCACAUUAUA